GACGCCUCCUCUCCACCCGGGUAUCUUGAGUGAGCCAGAAUGACCGCGCCCUGACGGUCCAGGAGACACCCUGGAAAUCUGAGAUGACCUCCAGUAAAAUCUGCUCACCCCAGUUACCCCUGUAAUCCCAGAUGUGAACUUGACCCUGGCCUUCCCCACCGCCAACCCCUGGAAGUCAUUAUCUCUGACCUUUACCCUCAGAGGAAGCAACAGGUCUGCACAGAGUUUGGACUUUGGACCGCUCACCCCUGAAGUAAAGGUGCUGGCAGACCUGGACACUGACCGAUGGCAAGAACUAAGGCACUGAAACAACUUUCCUUCCCUUUCAACUCAAUUCUCUCUACCUCUACUUCCCUGUCAUAUUUCUGACAUCAG